CCCGUGCCCCGCAACUGCUGAGCCUGCUUCGCCUGCGUGUACGCCUAAGGAAGGGUUGCUGCUGAGACGCCAGGCGUGGGUGACUUAAAGACUCGGCGGCACUGCUGUUACUACCGUAGCCACAAGGUGGUGAUUUGGAAUCAACAAUGGGCCUUUUCUUUGACUGUAAACAGAAAACUGUGGGUGUGGACAUAAUGAAGCAAUUGUACCAUUGGAAAUAAAUCUGCUUACAGGCCCCCAGUCCUGGAUGAACUUCACCAUCCACCUCCCCUGUGUCGAUGCCUGAGCAACUGAGUAUUGUCACAAAAGUCAAAAAACCAAUUCAGAUGGUCCUCAGUUGUAUAUUUUGUUGGAUUUCAAGGAGGAAGAGGUGAAAAGUUCUAUACUGACCUCUCACAGCCAACAGUCACGGAGGCACAGUGUAUGCUGGGCACCAGUGAGUAAAACAGGCACCGUUAUGAAGCUUAUAUUCUUUAAACAAUGUAUGUCUUCCCCCACCUUACUAAUAUAAUCACUCAGGUGAGGAUGUGGCUGAGCCAAUGACUGAAGACAUCUGAAGGAAGAUACGAACCGGAUGAACAGGUAUCUCCGAAGUGUCUCAGUGGGAGCAAGAAAAAUGACCACAGCAAGGUUGGCUGAAGGGUUGGAGAGACUGAACACUGUCAGGCUUAAGGGCUGUCAAACAGUGUACUUGGAACAAAGUGCAAAGUGAGUAAGGAGACUUCUCUACCGAACCCUACUUAACUGGUGCCUGUAAAUACUUGGACUAAAACGGACACAUUCUAAGGCAUGAAGAAACUUUAGCCACUAUUAGUUUGUAGGUACAUAAGAGAUUCAGCUCACAGGUCAAGAAAGUGUUUCACCAUAUGAUGUCUUUUGUAUGGUAAGCUAUUUAAAGUAUAGAAUACAAGCAAUACAAUUAUAAGGAAAAUUUUCUGACUUUUAUUAUAGCAUUUUGCCUCAUGCUCUUCAACAUAUUUAUACACUUUUUAAUGUUGUCAUUUCAUAUAAAAAUUUUGUUAUGCCGCCGAGCAGAUUAGGAGCUCCUUGAGGGAAGGGAUUCUAUCCUAUGCAACCAAUGUGGAAUUCUGGGUGUUUGGUAAGUGCUCAUCAAAUACUUCAUGGAACAUUGAAUAUUGUGGACCUUGUACUUUAUGCUCCUAACUCCAGGUCCAAGAUAGGGCUGGCUUCUGCGGAAAGUACCACCCCUGUACCUUAUGUCAGACUAUGACAAAAUAUCCCUGGGAAGCCCCCAGAAGUUUGUCUGGUUGCUUUCUGUUGUUGCCAUCACUUGAGUGACAUGUGGGUCUCCAGAGAGAGACUUUGCCUUCUCCUUUUCUCACAGAGCAACAUGCUCACUGUUGGCUGAACGAUACGUAUGUUUUAUGGAGAGCAGAUUAAGUUACACAUAGGCAUUGUCUUCACUACUCACAGCACCAGGCACUGCUUUGGGACAACAAGCAGUCUCCUGACUGCCACCAUGGGUGGGAUCCUUCGUAGCUCAAAGCUUUGACUCCCAACCUGUCCUAAUAAUCUGUCUUGCUUGUGCCAUUUGGUGUUGAGAUCCCUGAUUUCUGAAGGCAUAAAGUAACUUUUGCCCAGGAUUUGACUUUCUCUCCUUCUAACCACUAGAGCCCACACCAUCCAAUCUCCUGAAGUGCUAUUGUGUCAGGCUUGAAAUGGAGGCUCAAUAUUAUUUGCUGCUUUAGCAUGUUAUAAAGUCCAGAGGCUCCCCGGUGGCCUAACUGCAAGUUCCCAUCCCUUGUCUCUUCAUGCGGAUGUCUCUUAGCCAAACAGCCCUCCUCAUCAUGGGGACCAGGCACACCACCUGUUUAUCAUUCAUCGUGUGUAGGAUUCAGUUCCCUGUCAGCCCACAGAAUUACUCAAACAAGCCAAUCACAUCCUUCUUGGGAGCCAGGGGGCACCUCACUGUCUUGAUACUACAAAGUUUGCUUCCCACAGCCCCCACUUGUUCACCCUGACCUCAAGUGCAACCCUCAUGUGACUCUGUGUGGCAUGGAGUGUCCUCCUCCCCCAUGCUAAGUAUAUAUGACCAAUAAACUGCUGUUGAUCUCGUC